rnacentral:lncRNA from 1 species
AAGGCAUGUAGAGCAGGAAAUAAGCACAAUACGGGUAAAAUGAGACAAUGUCAGAAUAGGACACCUUGGUUGAAAGAAAAUGUAUUUGUGGAAGAAAAAAGAACCUUCUGGGAGAUUCUGAAGUCUAGUGGUUGGGUGACGAGGCUGAGGCAGGAGAAUGGCUUGAACCUGGGAGGCAGAGCUUGCAGUGAGUGUAAGAGGUAAGGAGUCUGUUCUGCUGGGGAGUUCUGCUAUCUUCCACACAUGGUUUCCAUCUUCUAAUUUAAAGCUAACCUUUGAAUGAGAGAAACUUCUGCUGAUGUCAAAUGACCACAAGGAUAUUAACAACUGGACUUGGAGCCUGUCGGCCGCUGUUGGAUACACCUCCUUUACCAAGGCGGCUUUCUUCACUACUGCCACUGACCUUGCAAACAGCUCCGACAAAGGUCGGAAUGGAUUCAUUGAUCAGCUAGACCGAGCAUAUGACAGUCUGUGCCUUAAUUGAAUCCCAAAAGGGGGCAGACUGGGUUUUUAUUACAGAGGCCAGCCGAUAGCACUCAUUAAAAGCUCCACAGACUGUG